rnacentral:rRNA from 1 species
GACGAACGCUGGCGGCGUGCUUAACACAUGCAAGUCGAACGGACAGGCCCUGCUUUUGCGGGGUGCUCGAGUGGCGAACGGGUGAGUAACACGUGAGUAUCCUGCCCUUGACUUUGGGAUAACUCCAGGAAACUGGGGCUCAUACCGGAUAGGAGCUCCUGCUGCAUGGUGGGGGUUGGAAAGUUUCGGCGGUUGGGGAUGGACUCGCGGCUUAUCCGCUUGUUGGUGGGGUAGUGGCUUACCAAGGCUUUGACGGGUAGCCGGCCUGAGAGGGUGACCGGCCACAUUGGGACUGAGGUACGGCCCAGACUCCUACGGGAGGCAGCAGGGGGGAAUAUUGCACAAUGGGCGGAAGCCUGAUGCAGCGACGCCGCGUGCGUGAUGACGGCCUUCGAGUUGUAAACCGCUUUCGCCUGUGACGAAGCGUGAGUGACGGUAAUGGGUAAAGAAGCACCGGCUAACUACGUG